GAUGAACGCUAGCGGCAGGCUUAAUACAUGCAAGUCAAGGGGGUAGCAAUACAACCGGCGCACGGGUGAGUAACACGUACACAACAUACCAUAUACUGAGGUAUAGCUUCGGGAAACUGAAGGUAAUCCCUCAUAGUAUUGUGAAAGGGCAUCUUUUUACAAUUAAAGUUUCGACGGUAUAUGAUUGGUGUGCGUUUGAUUAGCUAGUUGGUAGGGUAACGGCCUACCAAGGCAACGAUCAAUAGCUGGCGUGAGAGCGCGACCAGCCACACUGGAACUGAGACACGGUCCAGACUCCUACGGGAGGCAGCAGUAGGGAAUAUUGGACAAUGGGCGAAAGCCUGAUCCAGCCGUGCCGCGUGAUAGAUGAAGGCCCUCUGGGUUGUAAAUAUCUUUUAUCUGGGAAGAAACACUUCUAUUCUUAGAAGCUUGACGGUACCAGAGGAAUAAGCACCGGCUAACUCCGUGCCAGCAGCCGCGGU
rnacentral:rRNA from 1 species